GCAGUCGAACGGCAGCGCGGGAGCAAUCCUGGCGGCGAGUGGCGAACGGGUGAGUAAUAUAUCGGAACGUGCCCAGUAGUGGGGGAUAGCCCGGCGAAAGCCGGAUUAAUACCGCAUACGACCUAAGGGUGAAAGGGGGGGAUUCGCAAGAACCUCUCGCUAUUGGAGCGGCCGAUAUCAGAUUAGGUAGUUGGUGGGGUAAAAGCCUACCAAGCCUGCGAUCUGUAGUUGGUCUGAGAGGACGACCAGCCACACUGGGACUGAGACACGGCCCAGACUCCUACGGGAGGCAGCAGUGGGGAAUUUUGGACAAUGGGCGCAAGCCUGAUCCAGCAAUGCCGCGUGCAGGAAGAAGGCCUUCGGGUCGUAAACUGCUUUUGUCAGGGAAGAAAUCCUCUGGGUUAAUACCUCGGGGGGAUGACGGUACCUGAAGAAUAAGCACCGGCUAACUACGUGCCAGCAGCCGCGGUAAUACGUAGGGUGCGAGCGUUAAUCGGAAUUACUGGGCGUAAAGCGUGCGCAGGCGGUUGUGCAGGACAGGUGUGAAAUCCCCGGGCUUAACCUGGGAACUGCACUUGUGACUGCACAGCUAGAGUACGGUAGAGGGGGAUGGAAUUCCGCGUGUAGCAGUGAAAUGCGUAGAUAUGCGGAGGAACACCGAUGGCGAAGGCAAUCCCCUGGACCUGUACUGACGCUCAUGCACG
rnacentral:rRNA from 1 species